rnacentral:tRNA from 1 species
GGUAAAAUGGCUGAAAAUUAGGCGAUAAAUUGUAAAUUUAUUUAUGGUGUAACCUUUUACUA